UGGGAGAAGUCCUCCUUGGUC
rnacentral:siRNA from 1 species